UGGUUUUACAUCCUGACAAGAGUGGAAUGGUUUUAAGCUAAAGGAGGGUAGAUCUAGAUGAGAUAUUCAGAAGAAAUUCUUCUCUCAGAGGGUGGAGAGGCACUGGAACAGGUUGUCCAGAGAAGCUGUGGAUGCCCCAUCCUUAGAGGUGUUCAAGGCCAGGCUGGAUGGGGCUUUGGGCAA